GCCUGGCUGGCUCAGUCGGGGGAGCGUGGGACUCUUGAUCUCAGGGUCGUGGGUUCGAGCCCCAUGUUGGGUG